AACGAACGCUGGCGGCAGGCUUAACACAUGCAAGUCGAGCGCCCCGCAAGGGGAGCGGCGCACGGGAGAAUAACACGUGGGAACCUACCUUUUAGUUCGGAACAACACCGGGAAACUGGUGCUAAUACCGGAUACGUCCUUCGGGAGAAAGUUUUAUCGCUAAAAGAUGGGCCCGCGUUGGAUUAGCUAGUUGGUGAGGUAAUGGCUCACCAAGGCGACGAUCCAUAGCUGGUCUAAGAGGAUGAUCAGCCUCAAUGGGACUGAGAAACGGCCCAGACUCCUACGGGAGGCAGCAGUGGGGAAUAUUGGACAAUGGGGGCAACCCUGAUCCAGCCAUGCCGCGUGGAUGUUAAGGCCUUCGGGUUGUAAAGUCCUUUUGGCGGGGACGAUGAUGACGGUACCCGCAGAAUAAGAUCCGGCAAACUUCGUGCCAGCCGCCGCCGUAA
rnacentral:rRNA from 1 species